UCUACUCACCCCAAAGGCAUAGAAAAACUCAAUGCUACAGAUUGUUGCCUCUAGUUAUAGCCACUAAUGAGUCGAAAUGUCAAUGCCUCAUUUACACACUAAGCUAAUUAGUACUUACUAUAUUUCACUCACAUUCAGUAAAACCAGAAUUCUCUACAUAUUUGAUUGAUAUCUGAUAUGCAGGAAAAAAUUCAACUUAUUUUAUGUAGUUUUACCCUUCUGCAUGAUCAGGAAUCUUCUUCUGCUUAUUCCACCAACAUGUUCACUAAGUUUAGCCAAGUGAGCCAUUCGUCUUUUCGCUGAUUCUGUGGCUCCCAUCUGCUUUGGCUUUUCCUCUACAACAGGAACAUCGUCAACACCUUGAAAACUUGUGUCUGUGGAGGAACUAUUUUCGCCAGAAAUCUGAAUGAUCUGCUUCAGAGUUUCUACUACCUGACUCAUCUUGGGUCGAUCUUUAGCAGAUUUUAACAAACAGGUGUCAGCUAACUUUGCCAUCUUUCG
rnacentral:misc_RNA from 1 species